rnacentral:rRNA from 1 species
GUGAGGAAUUUUCCGCAAUGGACGAAAGCCUGACGGAGCAAUGCCGCGUGAAGGAUGAAGGCCUAUGGGUUGUAAACUUCUUUUCUCAGAAAAGAAUUAUGACGGUAUCUGAGGAAUAAGCAUCGGCUAACUCUGUGCCAGCAGCCGCGGUAAGACAGAGGAUGCAAGCGUUAUCCGGAAUGAUUGGGCGUAAAGCGUCUGUAGGUUGUUUAAAAAGUAUUCUGUCAAAGAUUAGGGCUUAACCCUAGAUAGGCAGAAUAAACUUUUAAGCUAGAGUUUGGUAGAGGCAGAGGGAAUUCCCGGUGGAGCGGUGAAAUGCGUAGAUAUCGGGAGGAACACCAAAGGCGAAGGCACUCUGCUGGGCCAAUACUAACACUGAGAGACGAAAGCGAGGGGAGCAAAUGGGAUUAGAUACCCUUGUAGUCC